rnacentral:lncRNA from 10 species
GGCAUCUUGACCCCUUUGUCCAGGAUCCUGCUCUGCAACAUCCACUUCCUGCUCCCGAUCUCCCUGAAGGGGCUGCUGCUCGUGGGCCUGCUCUGCACUGUGCUGCAAGUGAGCAGUGCUAAGGGGGCCUCCAGGGGGAAAUAAAGUCACAGCCUGAGCCGGGGAACCGCAGCUCCCACACCAUCAACACCCUCGGAGGGGGCAAGCAGAACCUCUGGCCUCCUAUCAGCUUUCUGAAGAUGAGAAGUCCAAGAGCAUCGUAGUGGCAUCUGACAAGCGUCAUUCCAU